CUGGCGGCGUGCUUAACACAUGCAAGUCGAGCGAUGAAGUUCCUUCGGGAAAUGGAUUAGCGGCGGACGGGUGAGUAACACGUGGGUAACCUGCCUCAUAGAGGGGAAUAGCCUUUCGAAAGGAAGAUUAAUACCGCAUAAGAUUGUAAUGUCGCAUGACAUAGCAAUUAAAGGAGUAAUCCGCUAUGAGAUGGACCCGCGUCGCAUUAGCUAGUUGGUGAGGUAACGGCUCACCAAGGCGACGAUGCGUAGCCGACCUGAGAGGGUGAUCGGCCACAUUGGGACUGAGACACGGCCCAGACUCCUACGGGAGGCAGCAGUGGGGAAUAUUGCACAAUGGGGGAAACCCUGAUGCAGCCAACGCCGCGUGAGUGAUGAAGGUCUUCGGAUUGUAAAGCUCUGUCUUUAGGGACGAUAAUGACGGUACCUAAGGAGGAAGCCACGGCUAACUACGUGCCAGCAGCAGC
rnacentral:rRNA from 1 species